UUCCGGUUGAUCCUGCCGGACCUGACUGCUAUCGGAUUGAUACUAAGCCAUGCGAGUCAUUGUAGCAAUACAAGGCAGACGGCUCAGUAACGCGUAGUCAAUCUACCCUAUGGACGGGAAUAACUUCGGGAAAUUGAGAAUAAUGCCCGAUAGAACAUUAUGUCUGGAAUGGUUUAUGUUUCAAAUGAUUUAUCGCCAUAGGAUGGGACUGCGGCCUAUCAGUUUGUUGGUGAGGUAAUGGCCCACCAAGAUUAUUACAGGUACGGGCUCUGAGAGGAGUAGUCCGGAGAUGGGUACUGAGACACGGACCCAGGCCCUAUGGGGCGCAGCAGGCGAGAAAACUUUGCAAUGUGCGAAAGCACGACAAGGUUAAUCCGAGUGGUUUCUGCUAAAGAAACCUUUUGUCAGUCCUAGAAAUACUAACGAAUAAGGGGUGGGUAAGUUCUGGUGUCAGCCGCCGCGGUAAAACCAGCACCUCAAGUGGUCAGGAUGAUUAUUGGGCCUAAAGCAUCCGUAGCUCGUUUUGUAAGUUUUCGGUUAAAUCCAUGCGCUUAACGUAUGGGCUGUUGGGAAUACUGCAUAACUAGGAAGUGGGAGAGGUAGACGGUACUCGGGAGGAAGGGGUAAAAUCCUUUGAUCUCUUGAUGACCACCUGUGGCGAAGGCGGUCUACCAGAACACGUUCGACGGUGAGGGAUGAAAGCUGGGGGAGCAAACCGGAUUAGAUACCCGGGUAGUCCCAGCUGUAAACUAUGCAAACUCAGUGAUGCAUUGGCUUAUGGCCAAUGCAGUGCUGCAGGGAAGCCGUUAAGUUUGCCGCCUGGGAAGUACGUACGCAAGUAUGAAACUUAAAGGAAUUGGCGGGGGAGCACCACAA
rnacentral:rRNA from 2 species